ensembl:lncRNA
UGGGGGACACCCGGGGACCUGAGGGGACAUGCUGGGGGACAUCCAGGGACCUGAGGGGACAUCCUGGGGACCUUUGCAGGGACAUCCAGGGGAUCCUUGUGGGGACGUCCCAGGGACCCUCAGGGGCACAUCCAGGGGACCCUCAGGGGAACAUCAUGGGAACCCUCAGGGGGCAUUCUGGGGACCCUCAGUGCAGGGACAUCCAGGGACAUUCUGGGGACCUUCAUGGGGACAUCCCAGGGACACUUGGGGGAUAUCCAAGGGGACCUUCAGGGGGACAUCCCAGGGACCCAUCUGGGGACGUGCAAGGGACUCUUGGGGUGGCAUCCAGGGACCCUUGGGGGGGACAUCCUGGGGACCUUCAGGGGGACAUCCCGGGGACUCUCAGGGGACAUCCAGGGAUAGUCGGGGGGGUUUAGGGGACACAUCCAGGGGCCCCUUGGAGGGACAUUCCAGGGACCUUUGCGGGGACAUCCAGGGGAUCCUUGUGGGGACAUUCCAGGAACUUUCAAGGGAACAUCCCGGGAACCCUCAGUGGGGGGACAUCCAGGGGACCCUUGGGGAAACAUCCCGAGGACACCCAGGGGACAUCCAGGGGACCCUUGGGGAAACAUCCCGAGGACACCCAGGGGACAUCCAGGGACCCUCAGGAGGGGACAUCUUGGGGAUAUCCAGGGGAUCCUUGCGGGGAAAUCAGGGAACUCUUGCAGACACAUCCCAAGGACAUUCAUGGGGACAUCCAAGGGACCCUCGGGAGGGGACAUCCAGGGGACCCUCAUGGGGCCAUCCAGGGGAUCCUUGUGGGGACGUCCCAGGGACCCUCAGGGGAACAUCAUGGGAACCCUCAGGGGACAUUCUGGGGACCCUCAGUGCAGGGACAUCCAGGGACAUUCUGGGGACCUUUGUGGGGACAUCCCAGGAACACUUGGGGGAUAUCCAAGGGGACCUUCAGGGGGACAUCCAGGGGACCCUUGUAGGGGACAGCCAGGGGACCCUGGGGGGACAUCCCAGGGACCCUUCUGGGGAUGUGCAAGGGACUCUUGGGGUGGCAUCCAGGGACCCUUGGGGGGGACAUCCUGGGGACCUUUGGGGGGAUAUCCCGGGGACUCUCAGGUGGACAUCUGGGGACCAUCAGGGGGACAUCCAGGGGACCAUCAGGGGACAUCCAGGGGACCCUUGUGGAAACAUCCCGAGGACAUUCAGGGGACAUCCAGGGACCCUCGGGAGGGGACAUCCUGGGAACCUUUGCAGGGACAUCCAGGGAAUCCUUGUGGGGACAUCCCAGGGACCCUCAGGGGCACAUCCAGGGGACCCUCAGGGGAACAUCAUGGGAACCCUCAGGGGGCAUUCUGGGGGCCCUCAGUGCAGGGACAUUCUGGGGACCUUUGUGGGGACAUCCCAGGGACACUUGGGGGGGGACAGCCAGGGGACCCUGGGGGGAACAUCCUGAGGAUGCUCAUGGGACAUCCAGGGGACCCUCGUGAGGACACCAGGAUGUGGAAGCACCCAGUGGAACUCCCUGUGGGGAUUUGGGGGUGACACUGUGGGACGCUCUGGGGACACCGGAGCCGCCAGGAUGGUGGGGCAGCCAUGGGGA